AGAGGAAACAGCCCAGAGCAUCGACUAAGGCCCCUAAGCGUGCGCUAAGUGGGAAAGGAUGUGGAGUCGCAGAGACAACCAGGAGGUUGGCUUAGAAGCAGCCACCCUUGAAAGAGUGCGUAAUAGCUCACUGGUCUAGUGAUUCCGCGCCGACAAUGUAGCGGGGCUCAAGCGUACCGCCGAAGUCGUGUCAUUGCAGCGUAUAGCCCCAACGGGUGUUGUGAUGGGUAGGGGAGCGUCGUGUGCCGGGUGAAGCUGCGCCGGAAGGCAGUGGUGGACGGUUCACGAGUGAGAAUGCAGGCAUGAGUAGCGAUUCACACGUGAGAAACGUGUGCGCCGAUUGACUAAGGGUUCCUGGGUCAAGCUGAUCUGCCCAGGGUAAGUCGGGACCUAAGGCGAGGCCGACAGGCGUAGUCGAUGGAUAACCGGUUGAUAUUCCGGUACCCGCUGUAGAGCGUCCAGUAUCGAAUCCUCUGAUGCUAAGGCCGUGAAGCCGCCCUGAUCUCUUCGGAGUUGAGGGGAGUGGUGGAGCCGCUGAUCCAAGGUGGUAGUAGGUAAGUGAUGGGGUGACGCAGGAAGGUAGUCCAUCCCGGGCGGUGGUUGUCCCGGGGUAAGGGUGUAGGACGUUGUGCAGGUAAAUCCGUGCAACAUGUGUCUGAGACCUGAUGCCGAGCCGAUUGUGGUGAAGUGGAUGAUCCUAUGCUGUCGAGAAAAGCCUCUAGCGAGUUUUAUGGCGGCCCGUACCCUAAACCGACUCAGGUGGUCUGGUAGAGAAUACCGAGGCGUUCGGGUGAACUAUGGUUAAGGAACUCGGCAAAAUGCCCCCGUAACUUCGGGAGAAGGGGGGCCAUUCUUGGUGAUCUGUCUUGCACAGUGAGCUGGGGGUGGCCGCAGAGACCAGCGAGAAGCGACUGUUUACUAAAAACACAGGUCCGUGCGAAGCCGUAAGGCGAUGUAUACGGACUGACGCCUGCCCGGUGCUGGAACGUUAAGGGGACCGGUUAGUCACAUUUCGUGU
rnacentral:rRNA from 1 species